AAAGUCGUAACAAGGUUUCCGUAGGUGAACCUGCGGAAGGAUCAUUAUCCUUUUAUCAGGGGGUUAAUGCUGGCACUCUGGGUCUAUUGCUCAGUGUGUUGGCUUAUCCCUUUCUGAUUCUACCCAUGUUUUUUGCGUACUACUUGUUUCCUUGGUGGGCUUGCCCACCGAUAGGACACCACACAACCUUUUGUAAUUGCAGUCAGCGUCAGUAACAAUGUAAUAAUUACAACUUUCAACAACGGAUCUCUUGGUUCUG
rnacentral:misc_RNA from 1 species